GGACUAGAGGAUAGGUGGAGGUAUGGACUAGACUAGAGGAUAGGUGGAGGCAUGGACUGGAGGAUAGGUGGAGGUAUGGACUAGACUAGAGGAUAGGUGGAGGCAUGGACUGGAGGAUAGGUGGAGGCAUGGACUGGAGGAUAGGUGGAGGCAUGGACUGGAGGAUAGGUGGAGGCAUGGACUAGAGGAUAGGUGGAGGCAUGGACUGGAGGAUAGGUGGAGGCAUGGACUAGAGGAUAGGUGGAGGCAUGGACUAGACUAGAGGAUAGGUGGAGGCAUGGACUAGAGGAUAGGUGGAGGUAUGGACUAGACUAGAGGAUAGGUGGAGGUAUGGAAUAGAGGAUAGGUGGAGGUAUGGACUAGAGGAUAGGUGGAGGCAUGGACUAGACUAGAGCGAGUUCCACCAUGAAUUUGCUUUUAUACCCAAGAAAGGAAGUGAACAAGUGCACACUGAUAAAAAGGACAGAUGGUUGGGCCCCGUGCUGAACUCCCUCCUUCGGUUUCUAUUGGGAAGGGAAGGGAUAGGAUAGGAUAGGAUAGCGGGAGGAGAGGUGUAUCACAGCAGAGUUGGGGGUCAAAGGUCAUUGCACAAUAUUAUAGACUUGCUGUUCUGUAAAAGCCUAAUAUGCAAUGCAUUGUUUAUUAUUAUUAUUAUUAUUAUUAUUAUUAUUACCAUAAUAAAAUAUUAUAAAAUAUAUUAUUUUCGUAUUUUUCCAUUUGCCUGAUGUCAAUUUCUCCCGCUUUGCCAGGGAGCCACCAUUGUUGGAUGAUGUAUAUUAUAUUAUACAUGUGUAAUAAAUAAGUCAUAUUAAUAAUCAUCGUGUUGAGAAAUGAAUCCCAUGUAGUCUUCUUCAUCAUGUUGGUCUGAUAAUAUUACGUGGAUGACGACACCUAAUAAAACACGUGUUUGUA